rnacentral:lncRNA from 1 species
AGCCAUUCACACUGCCACUGUGGAAACCCAACAGCAAAUCCAAAAUUUUGAGGAGAGCAGCAAUAGAAACUGGUGCCAAGCCUACACAUCAUAUCACCUGCCCGUACCACCAUACAUUCCUCAACCACCACAUGCAUAUCCACCUCCUCCUGCACAAUAUCCUCCACAGCAAUAUCCUCCACCAUAUCCACUAUAUCCAUCGUAUCCACCCCAGUGAGGAAGGACAAGCUUGGGGGAGAUCCUCUCCCCCACCAAGGUAAGUAUUCUAUCCUAUUUAUUUCCAUGCAUUUUAUCAUUCUUGCUCUAAAAAAAAAAAUUAGCAUUUCCCUUUAGCAUAUAUGCUUCAUGUAUGUCUAUAUCCCUCAUGGAAAUGAUGACUAGUUGCUUGUUAAUGUUUCUCUAGUACCUAGUAUACAACUUAGUAUUUCUCCAAGUAUGGAUCACUUAGCUCACUUAAACUGCCAUGAACCUGAAAACUUUGUGGGUUGCAAGUGCUAGAACUAAGUCUAAGUUGUUGUGGGACAUGAGAUAGUGAGACAAGAGCUGCUAUAAUAUUAUUCUAAGCAUGCAUGAUUAUCAGAGAUUUAUUCUUAAAAUGAUCAAAACCUUAAUUGUUCCUCAAUGGUGAUGAAUUCCUACCACAGCUAUAUCUACUUUACAUGAUUGCAACCUUUCCACAUAAGCUAUUUGCUUUGUGUUGAGUGUCGCCAAGUCUUGUUGACCCCUGUUAAGAGACUUUUCAUGCUCCUAAGAUCAAGAUCACGUACACACCACAUAUAUAUAUGCUGCUUCUACACUGGAAGUACGCAACCACAUGUAUUUCGCAUCCACUAAAUAGGUUGCUCCAUACUCUAAAUGUUAGAAUAUCUCUCUCUAAGCAUUAUUUGGUAAAUGAGACAUCAAAAGCCUAGGCAAAAUGAAAUAAAAAGAUGGACAUGUGCAAGUCCACACAAAAAAAAAAUUGAGCACAUAAAGCUCGAAGAAAAAGAAAAUGCUAGCCAUGUCUCAAUAUACAAGUAGAGAGAGUGUAGCAAAUAAAGGAGCAACCUAGUCCACCAUAUAUCAGACUUGCACAUCUUGAUCUGGGAGUAUGACACUUCUCUUCAAGGAUCCGAGCUUUGACUUCGCAACACAUGCAAAGUAAGUAUGCUAUCUCCUUUCAUCCCUACCUUAAGCUCCACAUAAGCCUUUUAGAAAUAGGAUGAAAUAGAGAAGGCAACUCUAUCAUAUGCC